GACGAACGCUGGCGGCGUGCUUAACACAUGCAAGUCGGGCGGUAAGGCCCUUUCGGGGGUACACGAGCGGCGAACGGGUGAGUAACACGUGGGUGACCUGCCCUUAGCUCUGGGAUAAGCCUGGGAAACUGGGUCUAAUACCGGAUAUGACUCCAUGACGCAUGUUGUGGGGUGGAAAGCCUUGUGCGGCUAGGGAUGGGCCCGCGGCCUAUCAGCUUGUUGGUGGGGUGAUGGCCUACCAAGGCGACGACGGGUAGCCGGCCUGAGAGGGCGACCGGCCACACUGGGACUGAGACACGGCCCAGACUCCGUACGGGAGGCAGCAGGUGGGGAAUCUUGCGCAAUGGGCGAAAGCCUGACG
rnacentral:rRNA from 1 species